ensembl:miRNA
CACGGGUUGCAGCAGUACUACGUGAAACUGAAGGACAACGAGAAGAACCGGAAGCUCUUUGACCUUUUGGAUGUUCUUGAGUUCAACCAGGUCAGUCGUUCAGGUCCAGUUGGGGGUGA